UUUCUGCUUCGGGUCCUUUCUGCACAGUGGGCAGUUUAUAACCUCAGCCAGCUCUGCAGAGGGCAGAAUGCCAUGGUCCAAAUGUUUGUGUCCCUCACAAAAUUCCUAUGUUGAAAUUCUCGCCUCCAAGCUAAUGGUUCUAGGAGGUGGAGCCUCUGGGAGGUGAUCAGUCAUGAAGGUGGAGCCUCGUGGAUGGGGUCAGUGCCCUUAGAAAAGAGGCCCAAGGGAGCCCCUUUGUCCCUCCCACCGUGUAACACACAGCAAGGUGCCUGCGUCUAUGUGGGAAGGACCCUUGGCAGACACCAAUCUGCCUUUAUCUUGGAUGUCCAGCCUCAGAACUGUGUGAAAUAAGUUUCUCUUGCUUGUAAACCACCUGGUCUAUGGUAGCUGGUUACAGCAACCUGAACAGGCUGAGACCCACAGAUUUACAGCCUCCUCUUCCAGAGUCUGACUCCCUCCCCCUGGUUUUGUCUUUCCUGAAGCCUUCUGCGCCCCGUCCACACUUGCUUCCCCACCCCCCUUUCUCUGCCUUCAGUAGUUGUUUAUAAUUCAGUUUGAGACAGUAAUUUAGAAAUGACCUUCUCAAGACCUAGUUGGCAUGGGAUAAAUUAUUUUUCCCUAGGGCAUUUUAUUAUUAUUUUUGUUUUGUAUUAUCCUCUUAUAAUUCAUUCACAAAAGCCUGACCUCUCAACAACUUUGUAAACUUCUCAUUGACUCCAGGCUACUGACGACUCUUGCUUACCAAAUGCAGGCGAAGCUGUUCAGAAGUACAGCGCAUCGCUGGAAGAUAAGGAAUGGAUCUUCUGUUGGCAGCAUGGAACUGGACCUGGAUGACAUCAACAUUUGCCAAUAAAUGUGAGUUGAAGCUUUUGUUAAAAAAUGGAAUAUGGAGAGUUGAACCUUCAUUCAAUAAUGAUGACAGCAUAAUGAAGUAGACACUGUUAUUUGUCCUGUUGUUCAGAUACAGAGACUGAGACACGGGAGAAUGAAAUGGGGUACUAAUGUCGUCCUAGCUACUGUGUAGGAUGACACAUGGGGUUGGGCUUGGUA
rnacentral:lncRNA from 1 species